rnacentral:rRNA from 1 species
UACGGGGGGGGCAAGCGUUGUUCGGAAUUACUGGGCGUAAAGGGCUCGUAGGCGGCCAACUAAGUCAGACGUGAAAUCCCCAGGCUCAACCUGGGAACUGCGUCUGAUACUGGAUGGCUUGAAUCCGGGAGAGGGAUGCAGAAUUCCAGGUGUAGCGGUGAAAUGCGUAGAUAUCUGGAGGAACACCGGUGGCGAAGGCGGUUCUCUGGGCAUGUCCUGACGCUGAGGAGCGAAAGUGUGGGGAGCGAACAGG